CAGGAAAUGGAUCUGCUUCUUGGUAAAAA
rnacentral:snRNA from 1 species